GAUGAACGCUGGCGGCGUGCCUAAUACAUGCAAGUCGAGCGAAUGGAUUAAGAGCUUGCUCUUAUGAAGUUAGCGGCGGACGGGUGAGUAACACGUGGGUAACCUGCCCAUAAGACUGGGAUAACUCCGGGAAACCGGGGCUAAUACCGGAUAACAUUUUGAACCGCAUGGUUCGAAAUUGAAAGGCGGCUUCGGCUGUCACUUAUGGAUGGACCCGCGUCGCAUUAGCUAGUUGGUGAGGUAACGGCUCACCAAGGCAACGAUGCGUAGCCGACCUGAGAGGGUGCUCGGCCACACUGGGACUGAGACACGGACCAGACUCCUACGGGAGGCAGCAGUAGGGAAUCUUCCGCAAUGGACGAAAGUCUGACGGAGCAACGCCGCGUGAGUGAUGAAGGCUUUCGGUCGUAAAACUCUGUUGUUAGGGAAGAACAAGUGCUAGUUGAAUAAGCUGGCACCUUGACGGUACCUAACCAGAAAGCCACGGCUAACUACGUGCCAGCCGCCGCCGUAA
rnacentral:rRNA from 1 species